GACGAACGCUGGCGGCGUGCUUAACACAUGCAAGUCGAACGGAAAGGCCCUGCUUUUGUGGGGUGCUCGAGUGGCGAACGGGUGAGUAACACGUGAGUAACCUGCCCUUGACUUUGGGAUAACUUCAGGAAACUGGGGCUAAUACCGGAUAGGAGCUCCUGCUGCAUGGUGGGGGUUGGAAAGUUUCGGCGGUUGGGGAUGGACUCGCGGCUUAUCAGCUUGUUGGUGGGGUAGUGGCUUACCAAGGCUUUGACGGGUAGCCGGCCUGAGAGGGUGACCGGGCCCAGGGGGCUAGGGGAGGGGCCCGGGGGGCAUCGGGGGCAAAGGGGGGGAAACUGUUCCAAACGGGCGGAGGCGGGGAAGAAGACCUCCGGGUGGGGGAGGCCGGCUUUCGGGUAAGAAACGCAUUUGGCUUGUAACCAGGCGUGAUGACGGUAAAUGGGGAAAAAACCCCGGCUAACUUCGGG
rnacentral:rRNA from 1 species